UACGUAGGUUGCAAGCGUUAUCCGGAAUUAUUGGGCGUAAAGCGCGCGUAGGCGGUUUAUUAAGUCUGAUGUGAAAGCCCACGGCUCAACCGUGGAGUGUCAUUGGAAACUGGUAGACUUGAGUGCAGAAGAGGAAAGUGGAAUUCCAUGUGUAGCGGUGAAAUGCGUAGAGAUAUGGAGGAACACCAGUGGCGAAGGCGACUUUCUGGACUGUAACUGACGCUGAUGUGCGAAAGCGUGGGGAGCAAACAGG
rnacentral:rRNA from 1 species